rnacentral:rRNA from 1 species
AUUGAACGCUGGCGGCAUGCCUUACACAUGCAAGUCGAACGGCAGCGGGGGAGAAGCUUGCUUUUCCUGCCGGCGAGUGGCGAACGGGUGAGUAAUACAUCGGAGCGUGCCCUGUAGUGGGGGAUAACUAGUCGAAAGAUUAGCUAAUACCGCAUACGACCUGAGGGUGAAAGUGGGGGACCGCAAGGCCUCAUGCUAUAGGAGCGGCCGAUGUCUGAUUAGCUAGUUGGUGGGGUAAAGGCCUACCAAGGCGACGAUCAGUAGCUGGUCUGAGAGGACGCUCAGCCACACUGGGACUGAGAAACGGCCAAGACUCCUACGGGAGGCAGCAGUGGGGAAUUUUGGACAAUGGGCGAAAGCCUGAUCCAGCAAUGCCGCGUGUGUGAAGAAGGCCUUCGGGUUGUAAAGCACUUUUGUCCGGAAAGAAAUGGCUCUGGUUAAUACCUGGGGUCGAUGACGGUACCGGAAGAAUAAGGACCGGCUAACUACGUGCCAGCAGCCGCGGUAA